CAGCAGCCGCGGUAAUACAGAGGGUGCAAGCGUUAAUCGGAAUUACUGGGCGUAAAGCGCGCGUAGGUGGUUCGCCAAGUUGGAUGUGAAAUCCCCGGGCUCAACCUGGGAACUGCAUCCAAAACUGGCGAGCUAGAGUAUGGUAGAGGGUGGUGGAAUUUCCUGUGUAGCGGUGAAAUGCGUAGAUAUAGGAAGGAACAUCAGUGGCGAAGGCGACCACCUGGACUGAUACUGACACUGAGGUGCGAAAGCGUGGGGAGCAAACAGGAUUAGAUACCCCCGUAGUCCCUGUCUCUUAUAC
rnacentral:rRNA from 1 species